rnacentral:tRNA from 1 species
AGGUGGCUCAGAUGGUUAGAGCGCUAGACUCAUAAUCUAGAAGUCGCGGGUUCAAGUCCCGCCCUCGGCA